AUCUGGCUAAUGAGUCCCAAUUAGGACGAAACGCGCGUCCUGGAU
rnacentral:hammerhead_ribozyme from 1 species